AGUCAUUUUGAUAAAGUUGUUGGGGGAAAAAAAAACGGUCUGGUCGGUAAACUAGAUAUGUGCCGACGAUUAUUCACCUGUCUGAGAAAUCAAACAUUGCUGUUGAAUGAUAUUGGAUAUCAUAAUAUUAUCGAAACGGUUUAUAAUACAAUAAAAUACACGGACUUUCUUGUUACGUAGGUAUUUCGUGAAUAUUGGCACAGGACUGUAUGAUUGUGUGCCUAUUUUUAAAUAAAAUCAAAAUGCUAGUAAUUGCGGG